rnacentral:tRNA from 1 species
GGCUCCGUGGCGUAAUGGUGGCGCGUCGGAUUCCAAAGAAGUAAUAAUCCGAAGGUUGUGGGUUCAAUCCCCACCGGGGUCA